GUGCUUGCUUUGGGGGCACACAUACUAAAACUGGAACAAUAUGGAGAAUAUUAGCAUGGUUCAUGCAUGAGGAUGAAGCUCGAAUUCAUGAAGUGUUCUUUUUUUUC
ensembl:snRNA U6 U6 spliceosomal RNA